rnacentral:lncRNA from 1 species
UUUAGGGCAUUUUAUCAAACUCCAUUCGAGAAGCCCUUCAACCUUCAUUUUUUCUUCCUCUCUUCCCAUGUUUUGCACCUACUGGAGAACUUCCUCUCUUCUCAUGUUUUGCACCUACUAGAGAACUUCCAUUUCAAGAACCAUAGACAAAUACAGGUGAUGACUAUCUACAGCUUCUAUUUUUUUGAGCUACCACACCCACUAACUCUUCCAUUCCACAACAUCAAUUCAUGGUUCUUAAAAUGGAAGUUUUCCAGCAAGACUGCAAAAGCCUGAAGGUAAAUUCCAUAUUUGGUUCUUGAAAUGAUCUUUUUCCUCCAUUACUUUCAUCAUUUCUUCUUUUGUGGAGUGCCAAAAAUCAGCAAGAAAUCUAGACCAUUUCAGCAAGAAAUCUAGAUUUUUAGUUUAUCAAUUUGUGGUUGUUGAAAUAAGCUUUUUUCUCAAUUUGUUUCAUCAUUUCUUCUUUUUAAGAGUGCCAAAAAUGAGCAAGAAAUCUAGAUUUUAGCUUCUGAUUUGAGGGAGAUUGUUUCAGCAAGAACACUAAGAGAAGAAAGGGAAAAUCUGUCUUAAAAUUCAUCAAAAUAACGAAAAUUGACAACAAGACUUUUCAGUUUAGCGAAAGAUAUUCUUUUGGGACAGACUAUUGAUAAUUCUAUGUUAUAAAGUUAUUUGGUCACAAUUUUGGGUGAAUUUAGUCUAAAGUUCUUGAGAUUUAAUUUAAGUACUAGUUAUUUUAGUCAUUUAUUUUAUUUAAGUUAAUUAUAUUAUGUUCAAUUGCUUUAAGUUAUUUUAGGAUAGUUUGCUUUAAGUUAGUUUGUUGCUUUUGUAAGUGUGUUAUGAAAAGGGUGAUAUUAUGUGAAGAAGAAUGCAUUCAAGGUGCAGACUUUCACUGCUCAUGUUCUGAUAUUUUGAGCAUAUCUUUCACUACAAAAGUCCAACUGAUGUGAUUCUUGAACCAUUGGAAAGCUAAGAAGUAGAUUUAUUACUUUCAAGUUUACCACUUUGCCCAGUUCAUCUUUGAAGAAGGAGAAAAUCGUGUCACAAGUCAAAGAAGUGCAGUAGAAGCUAGAACUUCAAGUUAGAGCAUAAAGGGCUGUGCCCAUGGAAGAAAGGAGUGCCAUGGCACCCUGACAAGGCAAAGAUGCUUCAUCAAAUCAGAGGACUUGGCGUUGUGGCCACUUAGCUUGAUGGUUAUUUUUUUUUUUUUGGAUGAUGCUUUAAGUAGUUAUAUGGAACUAAAUUUUGAAUUUUGAAUAUUCU